GAUGAACGCUGGCGGCGUGCCUAAUACAUGCAAGUCGAGCGAACAGACGAGGAGCUUGCUCCUCUGACGUUAGCGGCGGACGGGUGAGUAACACGUGGAUAACCUACCUAUAAGACUGGGAUAACUUCGGGAAACCGGAGCUAAUACCGGAUAAUAUAUUGAACCGCAUGGUUCAAUAGUGAAAGACGGUUUUGCUGUCACUUAUAGAUGGAUCCGCGCCGCAUUAGCUAGUUGGUAAGGUAACGGCUUACCAAGGCAACGAUGCGUAGCCGACCUGAGAGGGUGAUCGGCCACACUGGAACUGAGACGCGGUCCAGACUCCUACGGGAGGCAGCAGUAGGGAAUCUUCCGCAAUGGGCGAAAGCUUGACGGAGCAACGCCGCGUGAGUGAUGAAGGUCUUCUGAUCGUAAAACUCUGUUAUUAGGGAAGAACAAAUGUGUAAGUAACUAUGCACGUCUUGACGGUACCUAAUCAGAAAGCCACGGCUAACUACGUG
rnacentral:rRNA from 1 species